AAACGAUGUCAACUAGCUGUUGGGGCCUUCGGGCCUUGGUAGCGCAGCUAACGCGUGAAGUUGACCGCCUGGGGAGUACGGUCGCAAGAUUAAAACUCAAAGGAAUUGACGGGGACCCGCACAAGCGGUGGAUGAUGUGGAUUAAUUCGAUGCAACGCGAAAAACCUUACCUACCCUUGACAUGUCUGGAAUUCCGAAGAGAUUUGGAAGUGCUCGCAAGAGAACCGGAACACAGGUGCUGCAUGGCUGUCGUCAGCUCGUGUCGUGAGAUGUUGGGUUAAGUCCCGCAACGAGCGCAACCCUUGUCAUUAGUUGCUACGAAAGGGCACUCUAAUGAGACUGCCGGUGACAAACCGGAGGAAGGUGGGGAUGACGUCAAGUCCUCAUGGCCCUUAUGGGUAGGGCUUCACACGUCAUACAAUGGUCGGGACAGAGGGUCGCCAACCCGCGAGGGGGAGCCAAUCCCAGAAACCCGAUCGUAGUCCGGAUCGCAGUCUGCAACUCGACUGCGUGAAGUCGGAAUCGCUAGUAAUCGCGGAUCAGCAUGUCGCGGUGAAUACGUUCCCGGGUCUUGUACACACCGCCCGUCACACCAUGGGAGUGGGUUUUACCAGAAGUAGUUAGCCUAAC
rnacentral:rRNA from 1 species